rnacentral:rRNA from 1 species
UUUAUGGUCAAGCUACUAAGGGCGCAUGGUGAAUGCCUUGGUGCCAGGAGGCGAUGAAAGACGUGGUUAGCUGCGAUAAGCUUCGGGGAGCCGCUAAACAGGCCCAGAUCCGGAGAUUUCUGAAUGGGGAAACCCGGUCCGUGUCAUGACGGAUCAUCUGCAAUUGAAUUCAUAGAUUGCAGAAGCGAACGGGGGGAACUGAAACAUCUAAGUACCCUCAGGAAAAGAAAACGACAGUGAUUCCCUAAGUAGUGGCGAGCGAACGGGGAAUAGCCUAAACCGAUGGUGCGUGAUAGCCUGCAAGCGUUGUAUCGUCGGGGUUGCGGAGCUUCAUUGGAGAGGAUUGCAGUUCUCUCGGAAAGUUACAAAAUCUGUUUAUAGUCGAAGCCGUUGGAAAGCGGUGCCGCAGAGGGUGAUAGCCCCGUAAACGAAAUGAACAGAUCUUUCUGAAUGGAGUUUCCAAGUAAUGCGGGACACGAGAAAUCCCGCACGAAACCGGGGGGACCAUCUCCCAAGGCUAAAUACUACCUGGCAACCGAUAGUGAACUAGUACCGUGAGGGAAAGGUGAAAAGUACUCCGAGAGGAGAGUGAAAUAGUACCUGAAACCGUGUGCCUACAAGGUGUGGAAGGACCAGGGAUGGGGGCUUGCCCUUAUCCGGUCUGACUGCGUGCCUUUUGUAUAAUGAGUCAGCGAGUUACUCUAUGCAGCGAGGUUAAGCCGCCAGGUGGAGCCGUAGCGAAAGCGAGUCUUAAUAGGGCGAAUUAGUUGUAUGGAGUAGACCCGAAACCAGGUGAUCUAUUCAUGGCCAGGGUGAAGCGCAUGUAACAGUGCGUGGAGGCCCGAACUGAUGUGGGUUGAAAACCGCUCGG